GGGGUUGACUGGAUUUGACAUCAAGGUGAAUGGGUUUGUAAGCAUGCCGGGCAUUGUAGAUACGCUCGUUAUCAUUAUCUGCACACAAACAAUUGGCGAAAACAAUUUCGCUCUCGCUGCCUAAUCGAAGUUUAGUAGAUCGGGCUUAAUCCUGGUUCAAGGAACCGGGACGGGACGUUCUGCCGGUGGAGAUGCCUGAUUCCGGCCGGAUCACAGGGCGUAGGCAAUUUUGGGCUGGUUUUGUCAGGGCUUCGAUGACAGGAUGAGAUAAAGAAGCUAAGGUUUGGCCUUGGGCGCUUGUUCCCGGAUCAAACACGAAAACCAACAGCAAGCUAAGCAUGUAGAAAGCACACGUGUUCCUUGUUUGGACCGGGGUUCGACUCCCCGCAACUCCACAA
rnacentral:tmRNA from 1 species